GAUUUGGUCCAUAAAUAGAGGUCGGUUGCACCGACCUAGGAUUUUCCUCAGCACGUUCGUACACUUCUCUGGCGCGUUCGCACACUGUAACUAGAUGCGCCUCUGUGCAUUCACGCACUGUGCUAGCGCGUUUGCAUAGAGUAAUGCCUGCCCCGCCGACCUAACUUGUAACGUCUAUAACUCUCUACUCCGAUGUCAUAUCGAUGAACGGUUUAUUGCGUUGGAAACUAGACUUCAUGAACUUCAUUUUAGGCUUUUAGUUUACUUCAAAACUCUUCAUAUGCUAAAAUAUAUUCUUUCCCCAAGUUGGCUCAUUCUUAUCGUUCAAAGUAGCGCUCAUCUUCUUCCAAAGUCAUACUAACUCAACUUCUUCCACUCAUUUCCUUAUAGGACCUUCCGGAAUUCCUUAUAUGCAUCCUUCACUCAUAAAAUAUACUCAAUAAUGCUUUUUUCCUUAUAGUCCAAAGUUUUUUUACUUAGCCAUAGUUCAACAUACUUAUGUUCAAACUUGAUAAGUGUUUUUCCGAAAGUACGGGGUGUAACAGCUUUAUGCGUUUGAGAGCCGGCCUGGGUCAUACAAAUGUUGCAUGCACUUAUUUUCCACCUUGAUAACUGUUGCCGGUGUAUUCUCCAACUCUCCUCACGUGAGUACCUCUCAACCCUUAACAAAUACUCCUCUAUUGCCUCUGAUUUAGCUCGGUUUCUCUUUCAGAAUUCUCUUUUAUUCAUUGCUGUGAUUUUUUUCCUUAUUCCAGGGUUUUCCAAACUUAGUAUAUCUUACCUUCAUUUUUAUUGUGGCUCAUUUUUUCUUCAAAUUAUGUUGGUUUUUCAUGUGAAGGCAUUUGAAUUAAGGUGAAAGUAAACUAGUUUGCAAAGAUGAGAUACAGGUUAACACUAUGUUUUAAUGAUGUAUAGCUUUGAAUAGGCUUCAUUUACUGGGUUUUCAUUUCUUUUCAUCAUAUAUAGCUAUAAGUAUGCGUAGUAUGCGUAAUUUAUUUGGAGUUUAAAAAAAAAAUUAAAGGUUUCGUUUUGUUUCAAAAAAUCUUAUUGAGUAUUUGAUCUGAUAAAGUGGUAAUGCUGUAGGAAUAUUAGCAAGUCAUUGUAUACUACUUCCGCAAGUAUCAGUGGAGCGCCAAAUCCUUUUAGAUUAUUUGCAAUGUUUACCUGACAUACACCAUCUAUAAUCGAUAGACUAACGCGUGGCAGGAGAAAACUUCUGAACAUUAUGGUCAAAGUUUGUAAUCAAAAUAGUUGUUGUAUAAUGUUCUUAGAGUCAUCAGUGGGACAAAAUCAUAGCAACAGAGCCGACUUCUAUACCUCUUGAUGUUAAAACUGAAUUGGAAGCAAAGCUGCUGAGCUCAAGAAUUUAUAUUGACCUAUCAAAAAGGUAACACUUUUAUAAGUUGAUAAUCUGACGCUGCAUACCUUAUGAUAUAUCUCAUUGAAUGGUUUGCCCAGAAUAAUACCUUUCGAUUCAUCCACUUUAAACUAAACAUUUGUCUCUUAGUUAAUGAAGUGUUGAAAGCUUAUAAAACUGUAGAAGGGUUAGUCUUCCAUUAUUGCUGCCUAUUAUUUGAUUGCUUGAUUAAAGUGAUGUCAUAAUAAAGUUCUCAUUGAGCUCAUUGUAUUGCAGCACCAUGAUCAGAAGAUGCUUCGUUUCUUCGCUAUAUAUGUUUGUUUUCUUGUAUUGGGAGGGGGUACGACUGUACAAGAGGAUGUCGCUUGGAUAUCUGGUGGCAGAAAUUAAGAGUAAAAAUUAUUGGACGGGAUAGAUCCAAGAAGGUAGAUAAAUUCGUAGUCCUGCAAAUCAGUGUGAUUGGAUUCAACAAGUUAGAUUUUGGUUGAGACUUUUGAGGUAAAACCCUGAGUGUUAUGGACGGGGGAUUUUGUUGCCAGAUGGGGAAGGUAGCUGCUCUACACUUCUUCUGGUGAUAACUGAAGAGCUUGAAAAAAGCAUUGGCAAUUUGGAUAUAUCAACCUUUAAAAAAAAAAAAACAGAAAAGAGAAAUAUUGACAAUGUGGCGCUGGACAUGUGGGAACAUGUAAAUAGGUGACUAUCUCCAAGGAUGACAUUGUCAUUCUUGAAUGUGCUGGUUGGAAGACAUAGAUGAAAGGGGCGAAUAGUUUGUUGAACUCUUUCAUAUAAACUAAUACCAACCUAAGAGACCAUAUUACUAUCUGAAAUGCGUGGCUGAACAUAUGUUGGUCCUCUGCAUAUUGACAUUAAAUUAGUAUAUGUUGAUGAAAGAUGGAAAAAGCAGAUGAAAGUUAUCUUGUAAGGAGUUGUAAUGCUAUAAGCUCAAGUAAUUAUGCUUCACUAUUCUGACUUGACAAACUUACUAGAAGAUAUAGAGUUUCCUUUCUUGAAGAAGAUGUACUCAGCGAAUCGUCGCUUUAUGCGUGUGAAAGCCUGCCUGGGUUAUACAAAUGUUCCAUGCACUGAUUUUCCACCUUGAUAACUAUUGCCGAUGUAUUCUCCAACUCUCCUCGCACCCGCGGAGGUUAACGACAUCCUGAAUGAUUCUAAUGAGCCCGGUUCACUUGCUCCAACUGGCCUGCAUCUUGGUGGCACAAAGUACAUGGCAUUCAAAGGGAAGCAGGGGUUGUCGCUCGAAUAAAGAAGGAUGCCUGACGAAACUUGUGAUUGAGGACUACACUUUAUGUAGCAAAUGACCUUCUCGCGUGGUCUAAUCAGGAUACCUGUAAAGAAUUUUCUGCAUCUACCAGAAUGGACUAGAUUGCACCGUAGAGACUCCAAAAGAACUUGUGGAAGGAGGACAGUCUUUGCUCUUUGGAUAUUUUGGUAUAACGCAAAAGAUGGCCACAUAGCUACUGGUGCAGCUUUCAAUGCUUAUUGUGCUGUUUGAAUUUUUGCACUUGUUAAAGCUUCAAACUUCUAUGUUCCACUCUCUUGCAGAAACCUUUCUUCAAGGGGAAGUGUAAAGACUUGAGUCACUUGGCAUCCCGAUACGAUUAUUUUGCUACACACUACUUUCAAAUAUUAGAAUUUACCUUCAAUAACUCUAGCCUUAUCUUCACCCAGUACUGUGACAAAAGUCUCUUUCUUUUCUUUUUCCUUUUGAAUGCAGGACGAAUGAUGCACCACAGUUUCCAAUAUGUAAUUAGUAUAGCCUCUAAUACUUUCCUCAUAUGUAAUGAUGUAAAUAAUGCAACUAUGGAUAUAAAGUAAUUUCUACCGAUUAGCUAACAAGC